rnacentral:misc_RNA from 1 species
CUUAAAUUCACACGGUGAGGCUCAGAGUUUGCAGCUUCUUUGCCAGACUCCUCAGAGGUCUCUGGCAUUUUUACUAGGAACCCCUGAGGCUCUCUCUCUCUAUAUAUAUAAAAAUCAAUCUAUCUGUAAUGGAAAUUGAGAGGAGGAAAUGCAAAUCGUACAGGCCGUCAGAGAAGAAGUCGCCGACGAUCGUAGGUGGCUUGAUCUUCACACUUGUUAAUUAAACAACAACAAAAACCACCAGAACCGGAGAAAGGAAAUGCAAAUUAAAAAAAAGAAAAAGCAAAUCCAAUUCCAAAUUCAAAUUCAAAAACGUAGAACAGUGGGCAGCCGAUCCAAAUUGC